GUGCUCGCUUCGGCAGCCCAUAUACUAAAAUUGGAACGAUACAGAGAUUGGCAUGGCCCCUGCACAAGGGUGACAUGCAAAUUCAUGAAGCAUUCCAUAUUUUU
ensembl:snRNA U6 U6 spliceosomal RNA